AAAAUAUAUGUACUGCUUAGCAGUUUCACUUAAGUAUGCACAUUGGUUUGUUUCCUUUUUUCCUGGGUAAAAUUUUUUAAAAUCUCUAGGAAAGAGCAAAGAAUUGCUCUAGAGCUGUUUUGGCUUAUUGUGAUGCUGACAUAAAACAAGAGAUUCAGCUUGGUUCAUCGUAAACAGUCUGUUCAUGACUGUACCCUUGUAUGCAAUGGUAUGAGUGUUUUUUUAAUUGUUUCUGACUUUUACUUUUGGAAGGGAUGCUGAUCUAUACUGCAACUGUUUCUGCCAGAUAAAUCUUUUUGCAACUUUCUCUCUUAAGAACAGUGUGUGUCUUGUGUGUGUGUGUGUGUGUGUGUGUGUGUGCGUAUACACGAGGGAACGUACUUGCUCUUGACUCAACUCUGAUAUACACCGCUGUCUGUUUUACUCUGCUUGCCUGUAAGCAUUUAACAGUGGAGGGAAUCGCAUCUCGCCAUUUCCCCCGCCAUCCCUCACAGCCUCUAGGAACAGCUGUAGGGUUUCUCUCUAGAGUAUCAGAGGCUCCCGACCAAUGAAGCCGGUGGCUCAAGAAAGCCGAGAUCAGUCACGCUCUCUCCACCAGCAGCCCUUGGAGGGCGAGUAAGCCAGUUUCGGGCCACGGUCCAAAGCGAGUGUGUCAUGGAUGGGAGAGAGUUCCUCGCUUCCCUUCGAAAAAGUCUGGCUUGAACUGAGUCAACAUUUAGCCUCUAGCAGCUGCGGCGCACGGGAUCUGGUGGAGACCGCGGGGGAAGGCGGAUAAGCCUGGAAAGGAAACCUCCCCUUCGACCCACAGCACCUUCGAGCCGUUGCAGCGCUGCUCGUCGGGCUCGAAGCCUCCGGCAGAGCUCUCUUUCAAGCUGCCAAGAGCGGAAGCGUGGGGCUGGCCUGGCGGGCGGUGGGCGGAAAGAGAGCGUCACCCGUCGCGCUGGGUCUUACGCGUGCUUGUUGGCUGACGGUGGAGGAAGAAAGGACUCUCAGGCAGAGAAUCCAAGUGGCCUAUGGAUGCUGUGCUGUUGGCUAUNGAAGCUGAAAAACCCAAGAUAACCCCAUUACAGAAUCAGGCGGAGAGACAAAAGGGUCUUGGAAAGGAAUAAAGCUUCUUACUGGGAAGUCGGGCA
rnacentral:lncRNA from 1 species